rnacentral:rRNA from 1 species
GGGGAAUAUUGCACAAUGGGGGAAACCCUGAUGCAGCAACGCCGCGUGAAGGAUGAAGGUUUUCGGAUUGUAAACUUCUUUAGUCAGGGACGAAAAAAAUGACGGUACCUGAAGAAUAAGCACCGGCUAACUACGUGCCAGCAGCCGCGGUAAUACGUAGGGUGCGAGCGUUAAUCGGAAUUACUGGGUGUAAAGGGCGUGUAGGCGGGAAUGUAAGUCAGAUGUGAAAUCCCAGGGCUUAACCCUGGAGCUGCAUCUGAAACUAUGUUUCUUGAGUGCCGGAGAGGAAAGCGGAAUUCCUAGUGUAGCGGUGAAAUGCGUAGAUAUUAGGAGGAACACCAGUGGCGAAGGCGGCUUUCUGGACGGUAACUGACGCUGAGGCGCGAAAGCGUGGGGAGCAAAC